AACGAACGCUGGCGGCAUGCCUAACACAUGCAAGUCGAACGAGACCUUCGGGUCUAGUGGCGCACGGGUGCGUAACGCGUGGGAACCUGCCCUUAGGUUCGGAAUAACUCCCCGAAAGGGGUGCUAAUACCGGAUAAUGUCUUCGGACCAAAGAUUUAUCGCCUUUGGAUGGGCCCGCGUUGGAUUAGCUAGUUGGUAGGGUAAAAGCCUACCAAGGCGACGAUCCAUAGCUGGGCUGAGAGGAUGAUCAGCCACACUGGGACUGAGACACGGCCCAGACUCCGGCGGGAGGGAGCAGUGGGGAAUAUGGGACAACGGGCGAAAGCAGGAUCCAGCAAUGCCGCGGGAGUGAUGAAGGCCUUAGGGUUGGAAAGCUCUUUUACCCGGGAUGAUAAGGACAGUACCGGGAGAAUAAGCUCCGGCUAACUCCGG
rnacentral:rRNA from 1 species